CACGUAGGGCGCGAGCGUUGUCCGGAAUUAUUGGGCGUAAAGAGCUCGUAGGCGGUUUGUCGCGUCGAUCGUGAAAACUGGAGGCUUAACUUUCAGCGUGCGGUCGAUACGGGCAGACUUGAGUGUGGCAGGGGAGACUGGAAUUCCUGGUGUAGCGGUGAAAUGCGCAGAUAUCAGGAGGAACACCGGUGGCGAAGGCGGAUCUCUGGGCCGAUACUGACGCUGAGGAGCGAAAGCAUGGGGAGCGAACAGG
rnacentral:rRNA from 1 species